AGAGUCCAGAUCUCAGCCUGUUAGGAGAUGAUUAUAGUGCUCACAUUAUUGUCCACACAUUAUCACACACCCACAUGAGGAACUGGUGCAAACAGUUCCUCCUGCAGACACACGCACACACUCACUCACUCAAGAGUGUGGGACCGCCCCACCCUCUACAUUCUUGUACUCUAUGCUUUGCUAUAAAUAAAGGUACAAGGAGCUGCUCAGCGCGUCUCUGCCUCAGAACGUGAGCUGAGCAGGGUGCCCUUGUACAAGAAAUCUCUUUGUCUGUGUUUGAUCUGUUUCUCUCCUCUCAGUUCUGUGAUCCAGGUUGGAGUCAGCCCGCUGGAGGCGGUAAUCCUCUGACAUAAUUCUUGGUCCUUCGAGCCGGAUGGGAAGCCUGAGAUCCCGCUGAGUGGUUAACCUGAAGUCUGUCGACAGCCAGUCACCCAGGGUGUCUGAAAAGACCCAGGACGUGAAUUCGGACCUGGGCCAGGGUUAGAACCAACCCUCACGGUGAUUCUCUGGUUUUCCAUCCGAACUACAGAUCACCAGAACGGGAAAAGUGAAGCCAGGAGACUGGGUCCUAAUCAAGGUGUUCCAGCGACGUAGUUGGAGCGCCCCCAAGUGGGAAGGCCCAUAUCAAGUAUUGUUGACCACACCAACAGCCAUAAAAAUAGCAGAACGACCAUCGUGGAUUCAUCUGACCCACUGCAAGUUAGUAACCGAGGCAGUCAAAGAGUUGCAUAGUGACAGAGACUAGAGUUUCCUAUAGGGCAGUCUACUGGACAGUAUGCAGGACUAGCCUGAUGCGUCUGGGGACACAGACUGAUUAGUCUGGCACUAUAGGCUAGUGAAGAAAUCAACGCGGAUGCCUUGGCAGGCCAAACCGCCCUAUGUAAUCUCUGCAGGUGACUGACCUACAGGUUAUUCAACAUGAGGUCUGUUCGAUCUAAAACUGGCAUUGUGGCUCUUAUUGCAACAUUGACUAUUCUGCUACUCUUAUUAACAGUACUAGAGACUGAAUAUGAACGACAGCGAAGAACACAUCAACACUCCGGUGACUCAACAUGGGAAGAAAACACAUGGUAUCGUGCUAUGAACUGGACUGCAUACAGCAGUAAUAAGACUAAUUGCUAUGUUUGCUCACAGGUACCUCACCACACAGGACACUCUGACACACCAAGACCAGCUGUCUGAUUGGAGCUUUAGCUCCUGGCUUACUGGUCCCUGGAAAGCUAUUCUUCUUCGUAUUGGCAUAAUAAUUUUAGCUAUACUUAUUUUGCUGUGUGCUAUUUCUACUUGCAUUAUUCCAUGUAUUCGUACUUGCAUUACCAGACUUGUUGAUUUCAGAGUCUCUGCAGCUCUCGUCCGUUACGAUCCAUUGCCUCACAAAGACACACCUGGAGGUGUAGACUCGUCAACGGAUUCUGAGGGCUCUGAGGCAGAAGACUCCGUUUAGAUGAAUGUUUAAGUCAUGCAUAUCCUCUAUGACGUGUUAACAGAAAACAGAAAUGAGUUGUUAAUUACUGAUAUCAUGGAAAUGUAUGUCUUAUCCUACCUGUACAUUAUUGUAAAUAUCCAUGCAUUAAUGUGAUCAACAGGAGGGAAUGUUAGGAGAUGAUUAUAGUGCUCACAUUAUUGUCCACACAUUAUCACACACCCACAUGAGGAACUGGUGCAAACAGUUCCUCCUGCAGACACACGCACACACUCACUCACUCAAGAGUGUGGGACCGCCCCACCCUCUACAUUCUUGUACUCUAUGCUUUGCUAUAAAUAAAGGUACAAGGAGCUGCUCAGCGCGUCUCUGCCUCAGAACGUGAGCUGAGCAGGGUGCCCUUGUACAAGAAAUCUCUUUGUCUGUGUUUGAUCUGUUUCUCUCCUCUCAGUUCUGUGAUCCAGGUUGGAGUCAGCCCGCUGGAGGCGGUAAUCCUCUGACACAGCCCCACUGAGAACCUCUGGGAUGUUCUGGAGAAGACUUUGGUCGGACUCUUCCAUCUUCAAUAGAAGAUCUUGGUAGAAAAUUAAUCCAUCUCUGGACAGAAAUAAAUGCCAUUGUGAAUGAGUGCCGUACUCAGAGCUAAAGGUCCAAUGAAAUAUUGGAGUGUGUACCUUUCUUUUUGGCCGGGGAGUUUAUUUCAUAGCAAUUCAUUCAAUAGUUGUAGAGAUAUUUCACUUCAGACCAAAGUGGUAAGAUAAGAGAUAAAACCAUCCCUAGCCUGUUGGUGUGAGUGUGACAGAAAACAUUAACUGCUAUGUUGUGACAGAUAAAAUCACUGAAUGUGUGAAAGUCAGUCAUUCCUCUACAGGUUUUUAAAACAUAUUAUUAUUAUUAGAUUCUUGCAACUGAUGAUGUUCUUUAUGUGUUGCCAAUCGACAGAAGAAAAUAUUACUGCAUCAUCCAUGUUUAGUUUACAUCAUCAUUUAAAAGGUUUAUGUCCCUUCUUCAUAGUGAAGGACUAUAGAGUGGAUAGCCCACUGUGGAUUCAGAGACCAAGACCUGAUCAUAAUAUUACUGUAUGAGCUCUGGGCAGCAAAGAAUCAUCAGCAUUUUUAUAGUUGUGUUUGACACUUGGUUAGAUUUUCUGUAAAACAGCAGUUUAGCUGCAUCUCCAGCAUGGUUGUCCAACAUCAGUGGUUAUAGUUUUUCUGUUUGCAGUGAACAGUCUGACACAGAUCAGUGUCAGGAAAAGGGAAACAAGCUGAGAAGUGCUGAUGACUUUUUCUUCUUCUGUGUUUUCCUGUCAUUGUCCUCUAUUGUUAAAAGACAGAAAGUUCUGAUUGAAGAAAUGAAGGAGCUGCUGGUCACCUGCUGUCAGUGUGGCAAUGGCAGGAAAUCGACAUAAACAUUCAGUCCUUCAGGGGCAGAUUUGCUCAAUGUUUUCAUCCCAAAGGACUUGAUUGGAAUUUUUUUUUUUUUUUUUUGCCAGAUGCUUUUUUAGUCCCAAACAAACCAUUCAUCUCCACAGCAGUGAGGUCAUCCUCUGUUCUGGCUCUCCAAACAGGAACCCUGAACAAAGUUCAGUUCAUUCAUGUUUGGCUGCAGCCUUGUCUGUUUUCACUGGUGUGUGAACUAUUGUAAAAGGACCUGAAUGAAAGUUUGUAAAUUGGGCGGUGAUGGUCUUCAAUGUCCUGAAAAGUGACAUCAGCUGAUGAUAGGAGGCCUCAAAAACACCGAAGUGUUGCUUAGAGUGGGAACUAUUGUGAGGAUGUUACGAUCUUUGAGUGUUAGCCAGGUUUAAUAAACUACAGUCUGUUUUUAUUCACUUUUAUUUUUAAUGACCACCAAAACCAUGAUCUAAAAAAGGAAACACUGGCAACCAGUUUUUUAGGACAUAAACAAAUACUAACAAGUACCACAGUGGUUAACAACAGUAACUCAAAUUUCAGUGAUAGACUGAUGAAGGCACAUGUCUAUCACAAACAACAAUCCUGCAUUCUGGUUGUGUAAUGAAAUUAGAUGUAUAAAUAAAUAAAUAUACAUUCAGCAACUUGAAAUAUCAGAUUAGGUAAUGAAGCAAGUUGUGUUUAAAUUUCCCCAGUGGCAUGACCUGCUACCUUCAUGUGAGUGAUUAAGAUCGACUACAGCUGCUGACUCCUCUGAUUUAAAUACAAUCCAUAGACUCAGCCACAAACAGUGAAGUACCAAUCUAAAGAAACAAAUCAUUGAUUUAAACAAGUAAAGAAAGUCACUGUGAGAUAUUUCAAAGAUACUUCAGAUCCCAAAAUUGACUGUUUAAUGCAAUCCAUAUGAAAUAUAUGAUUACCAAAUCUUUCGACUUCAUUUAGACAUGUUGAGGAGUGUAGAGCAGCUUUGUGCUACGGUCACAUCUUCCUGAAAAAGUUCUGCUACUGUGUGCACACUAAUUCAACCAAUCCUGGUAAAAUAUCUGUCCUGGGGCAUUCAGAGACUCAGACAGCAAAGACACAACAGAUGAGUGGAAGUAUUUAUUUACAGAAAACAUAGUGACACAAAACAAUUCAGAAUUACACCAGAGACUGAUGUAACUAAACUGCAGGAAGAACCAGAAACGACUACAGAAACCUUAUCUGGACUGAAGACUAAAUAAACACUAAACUGGGGAUUCUAAUGGAGACUCUUAACCAGGAGUAGAGCUAACCAGGGCCUGGAAAGACUGAGAGAACCAAGAGAAAACACAGCACCAUAACAAAAUGCAAAUAGGUUAUACAAAGCAGUAGACAUGGUGGAGAUGCUACGCUAUGCUAGUAACUGCAUGAGGAAAGCAGAAUGCACAAAAACACUAGAAACUACAACCAGAAAAACUAAAUAAGCCAUGUUAGCGGACAAGUUGACGUAGGGAGAACGGUAGAGGGAACAUCUCCGUUUCACACCACUCUCAAUCUGGACUGGUUAAACUCAGAGAGGACAACAUUUUUCUGUCCUCUGAUGCUCUCAUUCAGCUGCAGUUGUCUUCAUACUAACCUCACCAUUAACAAGGUAAAAUGUCCCAUAUAGACUUACAUAACAAACCUACUUAACAAGGUAAAAUUUACCAUAUAGACUAGCAUAACAAACCUACUUUGUUCUAUUUUCUAUCCACUCAUAGAACUGGAGUUGCGUUCAGUAAUUACUCUUAGUUUUUUCAUUUUUUUAAUCGAGGCUGUCAGGUUCCGAACUGGGAAAAGAGUAGCCAAAGAAGCUCAUUAAUGGACAGUUUUUGUAAACAAUUUGGGACAUCUUGUUUCUGAGUUUCUGCAGUGGAAAGCUGCCUGUUGUCCUUCUUCUUCUGAAUUGGUUUCCUGUUCUAACAUCUGUGGCUGAAUUACUCCAGUGUUAGUAGUAAUAGUUUAACCAGCAGAGUUAUAGGGGAGCUGGUGUGCUCAAGCUGCAGCAAGCUAUAGAGGGGUGAAUGGAGAGACAGGAACUUCAUAGAUCUGCAGCGAUGUAGAGUUACAUCUAAGACAAGUCAAGGAAGAAAAAAAGUCAAAGUCAGGUGUCAGAAUGAAUACCUCUGAUGUUUUGCAUGUAAUAUUUAUUUCUUUUAUGGUGAUAUUUAAAGUUCAUUUGGAAUGAUUCGUGUUUAAACUCUGUUUCCUCAUUGCCUCCCUACAGUCCUAUUAAUAGCUCACUAUUAGUCAGUUUCAGCAAUUAAAGGUUAACUUGUCUGAGCAGCUCUCUAAACGUCUGGUGACAGUCAGACCUUCACCCAUUAGUCCAUGGUGUGACUGUUUAUAGCUGAAGACAAACUGAGACCUUAGAACUCACUAAUGUCAACACUAAAAACCAUGUCAAAGAGUGAAAAAUGCUUUCUUUGAAUUCAAUAACUUCUUAAUGGGGCAUUUAGGUGCAGAUUACAAUUCAAGAGAAAGACUUACAAUUUUAAUGAAGACUUUUCCUUGAGCAAAACUCACAGAAUAAACUUUACUCUUCUGGCUUCAAGACUCCAUAAAAAGCUGAAUCAUCAGGAUGUCAACCCAAUAGUUUAUUGUUAUUAUGAAUGAUGUGGCCUGUAGGGGGCACUAUAUCUACUUCAUCUCACUUUCUGUUUGUUUCUGCUACUUUCUCUGCCAGGUCUCUCUCUGGUAUCCAGUAGGUUAAAGUUAUCUCCCAUAAACAGGAUCUUUAUUGUCACCAUUCAUAAAUUUAAACAGGUUUCCAUGACGUGGUGUUCCACAGGGUUUGAUUGUGGGACCACUAGUUUUCAUGCUUUACACUGCGCUGUAUGUUCAUUUUGAUGCUAUACAGAUAAACUUGUCUUGCUUUGUGAUAGCGAGGUAGAUAACACACACACACACACACACACACACACACACACACACACACACACACACACACACACACACACACACACACACACACACACACACAUGUUUAUAUAAAGCUCUCUCACAUCGUUCUAAAGUUAAAAACUGUUUUCUUUCCUCCCCACAUGUGCACGGCUUCCCUUCCGGACACCAAAUCUCUUUACAUUAUAUAUACCACCAGAGGAUGACACCACCUGAGCUUGAUCUUCUGGCUUUUCCUCAUGAGAGUGGCCUCACAAAUGAACACUCUCCUUUCUUGUUCAGCUAAAGUUUUAGUUUUCAUUUCAGUCGAUCUUUCAGCAGGAUUCAGCCCAGUCACCAUCUCCACAGUGCAAGUGCAUGUAAAGUGUCCUCACCAGGACCGAAGAAUCAUCCAUCCAUCCACCGAUCCAUCCAUCCAUCCAUCCAUCCAUCCAUCCAUCCAUCCAUCCAUCCAUCCAUCCAUCCAUCAUCCAUCUAUCCAUCCAUCAUCCAUCCAUCCAUCCAUCCAUCCAUCCAUCCAUCCAUCCAUCAUCAAUCAUCCAUCUAUCCAUCCAUCAUCCAUCCAUCCAUCCAUUCAUCCAUCCAUCCAUCCAUCCAUCCAUCCAUCCUGGAGUCUAUCCCAGCUGACUGAGGGUGAAGGCAGGAGACACCUGGACAGUCUGGCCUCAGCAGAAGGACUUCCUGUUUCACCGUCAGCAGCCUGUUUUAAACCAACUCUUGGUGGUUCCUCUGCUGAGUCAGCAGUCGGACGGCUGAUUCCGAUUCGUCCUCGCUGUGACAGGCCUGAGAUUAGAGGUUACAUAACCAAACCAUCAUCUGAUCUCUUCUGUGAAGUGAGAUGACUCGGCGGCUCGUCGCCAGCUCUGCUCUGACAAUACAGAGCUGUGUGACAGGAAAAUCUCCCUCUUCCUUCCAGCUGAAGCUGUAAAUACUAAUCCUCUCUGUCCUACUUUCUGUCUCUUUUUAUAACCUGGAUUCAGCCAGUUUUAUGUGAGGCCUGCUGCUGAGAAACCCAGUGAUUCCCACUGUAUUAUUUUAUUUAUUAUCUUUAACCAGUCAUCAUUUCCUUCGCAGUUUAACCUGAUAUAUCUGGUGUUUUUAUAACUAUAAUCUAGACUAAUCUGUCCAACAUGUCUGAUGAGCGUUACAUUUUAUUGAGUCCAGUUUUUCAAUGAACAUUUUAAUAUAAACUCUGUUGGUUCAGGCUGGCACUCAUUUCUUAAUUGUUUCAUGGUUUUAUUUACUGAGUAUAUGGGGCAGUGAUGAGCUGAAAAUGUACAUUUCAAACUCACACUGUUUUACUCUCCUUCCAUAGAGCACAACUCUUAGUUUCAGUGGAAGUUAACUAAAAAUUAAGCUGGUGUCUAUCUGUACCACAUCUUUAUUUCAGCAUCAAGUCUCAUGCUUUAGUUUUUUAAAAGGCAUAGUUAGGCUAUUGAUGUUGUUUCAUGCUGUAAAAAGAAACUUACAAUAAAGUAAUACAACUAAGAAGAUUUGAAAA